UUCGCAAUGCCCGAAAGGGUGACGAAGCGACGCCGCGUGGGUGAGGAAGGCCUUCGGGUUGUAAAGCCCUGUCAGGAGUUAAGAAAUGUAAGUGCGCUAAUAUCGCAUUUAUUUGACGAAGGCUCCAAAGGAAGUCACGGCUAACUCUGUGCCAGCAGCCGCGGUAAUACAGAGGUGGCAAGCGUUGUUCGGAAUUAUUGGGCGUAAAGAGCGCGUAGGUGGGUUUGUAAGUCAGAUGUGAAAGCCUUCUGUUCAACGGAAGACUUGCAUCUGAAACUGCGAGUCUUGAGUGUAGGAGGGGAGAAUGGAACUCCUGGUGGAGCGGUGAAAUGCGUAGAUAUCAGAAGGAACGCCGGCGGCGAAAGCGAUUCUCUGGCCUAUUACUGACACUCAGUGUGCGAAAGCUAGGGGAGCAAACGGGAUUAGAUACCCCGGUAGUCCUAGCCGUAAACGAUGGGCACUAAGUAGAGGGGUUUU
rnacentral:rRNA from 1 species